AGUGAACGCUGGCGGUAGGCCUAACACAUGCAAGUCGAACGGCAGCACAGUAAGAGCUUGCUCUUACGGGUGGCGAGUGGCGGACGGGUGAGGAAUACAUCGGAAUCUACUUUUUCGUGGGGGAUAACGUAGGGAAACUUACGCUAAUACCGCAUACGACCUACGGGUGAAAGCAGGGGAUCUUCGGACCUUGCGCGAUUGAAUGAGCCGAUGUCGGAUUAGCUAGUUGGCGGGGUAAAGGCCCACCAAGGCGACGAUCCGUAGCUGGUCUGAGAGGAUGAUCAGCCACACUGGAACUGAGACACGGUCCAGACUCCUACGGGAGGCAGCAGUGGGGAAUAUUGGACAAUGGGCGCAAGCCUGAUCCAGCAAUACCGCGUGGGUGAAGAAGGUCUUCGGGUUGUAAAGCCCUUUUGUUGGGAAAGAAAAGCAGCAGGUUAAUACCCCGCUGUUCUGACGGUACCCAAAGAAUAAGCACCGGCUAACUUCGUG
rnacentral:rRNA from 1 species